GUUAACGCUGGCGGCGUGCAUAACACAUGCAAGUCGAACGGGUUCGGGUCCGCCGCAAGGUGGAUGCGGACCAGUGGCAGACGAGUGAGUAACACGUAAGGAACCUGCCCUCAAAAGGGGGAUAACCCGCCGAAAGGCGGGCUAAUACCCCGUACGCUCAAGCGACGGCAUCGUCGUUUGAGGAAAGGCUUCGGCCGUUUGAGGAUGGCCUUGCGACCUAUCAGCUAGUUGGCGGGGUAACGGCCCACCAAGGCGAUGACGGGUACCCGGCCUGAAAGGGCGAACGGGCACGGAGGCACUGAGAUACGGGCCUCACUCCUACGGGAGGCAGCAGUGGGGAAUUUUGGACAAUGGGGGAAACCCUGAUCCAGCAACGCCGCGUGAGGGACGAAGGCUCGAGGGUCGUAAACCUCUUUUCUACGGGACGAAUACCCGCAAGGGUUUGACGGUACCGUAGGAAUAAGCCCCGGCUAAAUAUGU
rnacentral:rRNA from 1 species